rnacentral:tRNA from 1 species
GGGCCUAUCGUCUAGUGGUAAGACGCGACAUUCGCAUUGUCGAGACGGCAGUUCGAUUCUGCCUAGGUCCA